CAAGGUUUCCGUAGGUGAACCUGCGGAAGGAUCAUUAAUGAAAGCAUUUGAAGCAGAUGUGAUGCUGGCCUUUUGGUAUGUGCUCCAUCUGUGACAAUAUCCGCUUAACCCCUUUGUGCACUUGUUAGAUAGGGUCUUGAAAGCCUUGAAAGAGGCAAUUGAGCUCUGUCUUUUACACACAAACACUGUAGUCAUUGAAUGUUUUGAAAUUUGGAAUUAAUACAACUUUCAACAACGGAUCUCUUGGCUCUCGCAUCGAUGAAGAACGCAGCGAAAUGCGAUAAGUAAUGUGAAUUGCAGAAUUCAGUGAAUCAUCGAAUCUUUGAACGCACCUUGCGCUCCUUGGUAUUCCGAGGAGCAUGCCUGUUUGAGUGUCUUGAAAUUAUCAACCUCUAAGGAUUUUUUGAUCUUUGGAUGUGUUGGACUUGGGUCUGUUGGCUUCAUUGUCAACUCUCCUUAAAUGCAUUAGUGGACGCGUGUCUUUGACGCAGUAGCGGUGUAAUAAUUAUUACCACUUGCGAACUGUCUUGGGCCUUUGCCGCUUCUAACCGUCCGUUAAGGACAACUUGAUCUCUUUGACCUCAAAUCAGGUAGGACUACCCGCUGAACUUAAGCAUAUCAAUAAGCGGAGGAAAAGAAACUAACAAGGAUUCCCCUAGUAACUGCGAGUGAAGCGGGAAAAGCUCAAAUUUAAAAUCUGGCGGUUUUGCCGUCCGAGUUGUAAUCUGGAG
rnacentral:rRNA from 1 species